UGCAGCAAGCUGGCAGCAUGGCUGAAAGUGGUUAGAGCCAAGGGAUAGGGAGGAGUUUCCUUAUUGCUUCCUUUGUGCUGUUUAUAUCUGAGUGGAUCUAGUGCUUCUGUCCUGAAACACAGAGGAUGUGGCGGGGUGUGCAGGGGGAAAAGGCACUUGUGGAAGAGGGUAGGAAAUGAUGUCUUUAACCAGGCUGGAGCUCAGCUCAGCUGGGAGAUGGGGGACAAUUCGUAAGGCCAAAUUUGGUCUAAUUAUUCCUUGCCUGGCACUAGGCAGCACUGGGGCUGAUCUAUUCCUCAUAUGCCUGUUUCCCAUCAGCAGGACUGAGCUGACUUCAGGCCAGCAAGUCCUGACUUACUUACACUGCUGUAGUUCUCAGAGGUAGGUCAGGUUUACUGAAGGAUGAUUUGAUGCUUUGGGCUUUGGUUUUCUACUUGGUGAAGGGGGAGAAGAUUGUCACAGAUAGGUAUCAGGGGCAAUGGUAUGGGACAUGAAGUCCAUCCUAGCUAGUGGAUGCAGAACAAACUGUCAGAGAACGGGAUGCAUCUGAUGUCUUUAGAGAAAUGCCCACCCAUAGCCAGGCUGGGUUCACUUUGCCCACCCACAGAAAGCUGUAAAAUCUACAGGGAAAGGGCCUGGUGGAACAGGCACCCAGUUCUUGCUGAACACAGAAAGAAAGGCUAGAGACACCAGGAAGCUCCCAUGGGAGGCCGAGUUCAACUGCUACUGUAACCACAGUGUUUGGGGUUCCUCAUACUGGAUCCACACAUGAUGCAGAUUUGGACUGAGUCAGAGCCCAUCAGUGAAUUAUCCUUGAUCUCUGAGAAGCCAAAGCUGUGCAUGAGCAUGGGAAACUGUCCUAGAUCGAGCUGCAGGAGGGCAGUGCACAAGAUGGAGACAGUGGAAGAUGCCAGUUGCAAGAUGUGUUUGUGCCCCCAUGCUGGUAGGGGCAGGAAGGGCAGGAGAAGGCUGGAAAGAGUGUGUGCAGGAUGCCUCUGAGCAGCAGGUUAAAAGCACUCAACAGAGGCAAGAACAGGAAGGAAGCAGGGGUUAAGCCUGAACAAGCAUCUUCCUCCUAAGCACAGCUUUUCAAACCCAGAGGGAAGUUUCUACCUAAACAGCUAGGCUGGAAGAUUGGGUGUGAACAGCAGGACUCCACUUCAACCAGUUUGCUCCUCACCAGCCAAGGUACAUGGACCCUACUCAAAUUGCUUUGGUACAGGCUGAUGCUGAUCACAGCAGAGGUGCUCUAACACAGGAACAGAAAUGUUUCUAACAACCUGCUGGGGCAAUGCAUCCAUUUAACAAUUACCUCCCCUCUCCAAACUUUAGAACUUCAUGUAGCCAGUCUGCUGGGGAAACCACCUGAGAUCACAGUGUAACAAACACCAAAGCUGAUUAAACAGACAACAGAAGAGUAAAACCCCAACUCUGCCAGUUUCUCUCCCUUCCAACCUGCCCUUGUUGAGCUGCCAUACCCCAGAAUCUGUGUCUUCCUUAGGAAAAAUAAAAGAGAGGCAGAAAACCAA